rnacentral:rRNA from 1 species
GAUGAACGCUGGCGGCGUGCCUAAUACAUGCCAGUCGAGCGAACGGACGAGAAGCUUGCUUCUCUGAUGUUAGCGGCGGACGGGUGAGUAACACGUGGAUAACCUACCUAUAAGACUGGGAUAACUUCGGGAAACCGGAGCUAAUACCGGAUAAUAUUUUGAACCGCAUGGUUCAAAAGUGAAAGACGGUCUUGCUGUCACUUAUAGAUGGAUCCGCGCUGCAUUAGCUAGUUGGUAAGGUAACGGCUUACCAAGGCGACGAUGCAUAGCCGACCUGAGAGGGUGAUCGGCCACACUGGAACUGAGACACGGUCCAGACUCCUACGGGAGGCAGCAGUAGGGAAUCUUCCGCAAUGGGCGAAAGCCUGACGGAGCAACGCCGCGUGAGUGAUGAAGGUCUUCGGAUCGUAAAACUCUGUUAUUAGGGAAGAACAUAUGUGUAAGUAACUGUGCACAUCUUGACGGUACCUAAUCAGAAAGCCACGGCUAACUACGUG